GACGAACGCUGGCGGCGUGCUUAACACAUGCAAGUCGAACGGAAAGGCCUGCUUUCCCUUGUGGUUUGCGGGUACUCGAGUGGCGAACGGGUGAGUAACACGUGAGUGAUCUGCCCCCAACUUGGGUAUAAGCCUGGGAAACUGGGUCUAAUUCCCGAUAGGACUGCAGGGUGGUGCCUGUGGUGGAAAAUGAUUUUCUAGUGGUUGGGGAUGAGCUCGCGGCCUAUCAGCUUGUUGGUGGGGUAAUGGCCUACCAAGGCGGCGACGGGUAGCCGGCCUGAGAGGGUGGACGGCCACAUUGGGACUGAGAUACGGCCCAGACUCCUGCGGGAGGCAGCAGUGGGGAAUAUUGCACAAUGGGCGGAAGCCUGAUGCAGCGACGCCGCGUGGGGGAUGACGGCCUUCGAGUUGUAAACUCCUUUCGACCGCGAGGAAGCCACCUGGUUGGAAGGGUGGUGACGGUAGUGGUAGAAGAAGCACCGGCUAACUACGUG
rnacentral:rRNA from 1 species